rnacentral:rRNA from 1 species
CGGGACGGGUGAGUAAUGUCUGGGAAACUGCCCGAUGGAGGGGGAUAACCACUGGAAACGGUAGCUAAUACCGCAUAACGUCGCAAGACCAAAGAGGGGGACCUUAGGGCCUCUUGCCAUCGGAUGUGCCCAGAUGGGAUUAGCUAGUAGGUGGGGUAAUGGCUCACCUAGGCGACGAUCCCUAGCUGGUCUGAGAGGAUGACCAGCCACACUGGAACUGAGACACGGUCCAG